rnacentral:misc_RNA from 1 species
CUCUCAAUAUACCACAUUUUGCAUUCUAAAGUUGUUGGCAUUGGUUGCCAAUACCAUUUUAAAGCUUAGUGUUAGUUAUUCACAAUUUUCAGAUUUCAAGCACUAAGUUUACUAUUCCAUUAUUCAUUUGUACAGUAGGAAUUUGGCAAAAUUGUCUUCAUGAAAGUUGUUUCUUAUUGUGUCUAGUUAUAUUCCUUUUUUGAAUCACUCCAUUU